GCCUGCAACUCUAAACUUUGUAGUAUUUCUUGCGUUAUUAUACUGAUAGUAUUUCUAGGUAUUUGCUAGUAUUUGCAUAGCAAGCCUUGUGUCGUAGCAACCGGGAAAAAAGUGUUUGUUUGGAACAGAACGACGUUUUCGCCGUUCGUCACAAAUUUCAAAGCAAGUUUGCGUUGUGGAUUACGGUAUUUAACAUGGCAGGAGUUGAGCGCAGAGCUCUACGUUUGAUCGAGGAAAUAAAGUCUGGAAUCUCAUAUUUCGAGCGGGUUGUCGAGGUUUACAGAUGAGAGGUUUUACCAUGGGUUUACUGGCUAGCGGAAACAACAAAUCAGGCGCUUGGCAGACACAAAUUAAAAAAAAAAAACAAUCUAGUUCCAGUUUUUUGGAGUCUCUGAACCGAACUACAUGUUUGAAAAUAAUAAACUUGAACGUUGGAUCGCUUAAAGGUUUGGUGCACUUGAAAAUAUAUUUGAGGACCAAUUGACUAAAACCUACAGCAAUGAAACAUCCUGGCAGUGUGCUCAUUUAUUCUAUUAUCUUUAUCUGGCGUAUAAUCUACCAUAUUUGAAGGUUUUCGAUUGCUCUUUAAUAGCGUCAAAACAGUCAGACUAAUAAAUGCCAAAUGAUAACGUCUAAGUGAUCUUUUAUUGCAUUCAUCAGAAAAUUCUGAGAAUC